GAAUGCAUUCCCCCAAUUCGGUGGGCCCACCACCAAACUAACGUUUGGUUGGCUAUAAUACCAUUAAAGCCUGAAUUCAUUUAGGCCCUGUUACAUGAAAAGGCUGUAAUAGCCAUUCGUUGCCUUCAGAUUUGAUUAGCUAUUCCAUCCGCCUGUUUCGAUUUUCUUUUUCCCAUUUUCUAAUUUUUGCCCUCAGCUUCAUCUUCUCCUUCUGUAACUUUCUUUCCAACCAUCUUUACGUUUCCCUUUUUUUCCAUUGAUUGCAGAGGAAACUUAGAUAUUUCAGGUAAUUUAUUUUUUCCUUCUUUAUGAUUUUUCCUUCUUUAAUGUUUGAGUAUUUAGAAACUGAAGCAAAGGCGAAGAAAAUGGAGAAAAAGAUGACAAAAAAGUUACUGAAAAUGUUAGACAAUGUUUCUUUUCUUCAUUUUAUUAGGAACGAAAUUUUUAACUCUUUGCUUGAAACCCAUUUCAAUGGGUUUCAUUGUUUUGUCAGAGUUAUUUUAUUAGGAACGAAAAUUUCGAGGUACUCUUUUGAUAUAGUAUUUCGAAUGGACCCAUCAGCAAAUGGUCUUGAUAUUUUCUCUCUGGAUUGUCUGAUAGGAUAUUGUUUUGAUGCAGUGAUGAUAUAAAUGUAGUUACAAAUGUAAAUGUACACACUAAAUCCAUUUGGUAUUUUUCAUCCUAAGUAAUUUCUUCUUUACCUUUUCAUUUCAAUGAUUGGAAGAUAACUUCAAAAUCGAAUAAGAUUAGUACAUGUAAAAUUUUGUUGCUUUAAGAAUAAUUCAUAUAAUGGUUCUUGGAGUUAUGAUUGUUUUUGUCUUUCCACUUUAAGUACUUGUUUUUCACCCAGGCUCUUUUUUAUGCGCAUUCCGAGUUUGAUUUACCUGAAAUAGACAUAUUCACAGCCGUAUUUGUUGAUACUUUUUCUUUUCGAAUUCUUCUCUCGUUGGAACUGAAUUUUAUUUUUCUCUUCUCUUGUUAGUCUCUUAUUUUUCAAAUAUUUAUUGUUCUGUUUCCUGAUAAUAUCUUAUCAUUGUAAUGACAUGAUUCUGCCAAUGUCUUUCAGGUGAUUUUAAUACAGGAACAACUCUCCAAGAACAGGAUAAUUAUUGAUGCAGAUAAGAAGGGAAAGUGAGUUGUUCUUUCAAUUUUUUAUGACUUGCUAAUGAUUGACUCCUCCACAUUCUUAUCGUGUGCACUACUUGAAUUUCCUUGGUUCCAUAUAUAACUCUUCUUGUAAUAGUUAUCGUGGGUUGUAGAAGAGUGUAAAGUAGGGGGUUAAAGUCUUGUUGUUUGUCUAGUUGGUUCUUGAAGACUUUAUGUAAUCUGUCAUAUAUUUUAGUACUUGCUAAUGAACUUACAAAAAAAUCAGAGACUUUAUUAGCAAAUAAUCAAUUAAAAUGGUCUAGCUUACGGUCAUUUAACAUAGCUGCUUGAUGGAAAUAUGUUUUGAAGCUCAUAGAAGGAUUGAGAAGGAAACAAUGACCAAUUUACUGCCAUCUACGUAAAUGAUCGAGUCAUUAGGAAAGAUGCUCAAACAACCACUGAUAUUAUUGAGGAAAUAGAUAUUGAGGAUGUAGCUACUACAAAUAUUCAUUAAGAAAGAAACGAUUUCUAUGAAUGCGAAACUGAUGUUUCUUUGGAUGACAUGGAUGUUUCAGCUACGCAACCGUAACCAACUAGAAAUCAAGGGGAUUCCACAUUUUCAAAGAAGAAGAAAAAAAUUUCUGAUGCAAGUGAUCAUAUUUCUUCUCCUUCAUUUCAUGACAUGAUAGAAUGUCAUUACAAUGUUGUAACUUUUUUAUAUUGUAAAAUUUUAUAAUAUAUGGAUUAUGACAUAUAAACUAAUGAAAUCAUGUAACUUUUUGUUAAUAUAUGAAUAUUAUGUUUGGACGUGAAAUAUAAUUCUUAAGUUAUUUAUUACUUCUAAUAUUUUAUUUUUUAU
rnacentral:lncRNA from 1 species